UACGUAGGCAGCGAGCGUUGUUCGGAGUUACUGGGCGUAAAGGGUGUGUAGGCGGUUGUUUAAGUUUGGUGUGAAAUCUCCCGGCUCAACUGGGAGGGUGCGCCGAAUACUGAAUGACUCGAGUGCGGGAGAGGAGAGUGGAAUUCCUGGUGUAGCGGUGAAAUGCGUAGAUAUCAGGAGGAACACCGGUGGUGUAGACGGCUCUCUGGACCGUAACUGACGCUGAGACACGAAAGCGUGGGUAGCGAACAGG
rnacentral:rRNA from 1 species